UACAGAGACUGCAAGCGUUAUUCGGAUUCACUGGGCGUAAAGGGUGCGCAGGCGGCCAAGUGUGUUAGGCGUGAAAGCCUGGAGCUUAACUCCAGAAUUGCACCUAAAACUACAUGGCUAGAGCAUUGGAGAGGGUAGCGGAAUUCACGGUGUAGCAGUGAAAUGCGUAGAUAUCGUGAGGAACACCAGAGGCGAAGGCGGCUACCUGGACAAUUGCUGACGCUCAGGCAACGAAAGCGUGGGGAGCAAAAGGG
rnacentral:rRNA from 1 species